UACGAAGGGGGGCUAGCGUUGCUCGGAAUCACUGGGCGUAAAGGGUGCGUAGGCGGGUCUUUUAAGUCAGGGGUGAAAUCCUGGAGCUCAACUCCAGAACUGCCUUUGAUACUGAGGAUCUUGAGUUCGGGAGAGGUGAGUGGAACUGCGAGUGUAGAGGUGAAAUUCGUAGAUAUUCGCAAGAACACCAGUGGCGAAGGCGGCUCACUGGCCCGAUACUGACGCUGAGGCACGAAAGC
rnacentral:rRNA from 1 species